GGAGUACUCUUCUAAGCUAAUAUCACCACGAGACCGAUAGCGAACAAGUACCGUGAGGGAAAGUUGAAAAGCACUCUGAAUAGAGAGUCAAAAAGUACGUGAAACUGCCUAGGGCUCAAGCCCGUUGAACUCGAUUAUCCGCGGCGGAGAUAUUCACCUGCGGUUGGCCCUCACCCGGUCCGCCGCAGGGCACUUACCUCCUGCCUCACGAGGACGUUGCGAUCCAUUACGAAACGGUUAGCCAGCGAUGGCUACAGGCCCGGCACCUGCCCCUUGGCAUCUGGUUGCUUGUCCCACAGUAGCGGCGCUCAGUUCGGAAGGCCUGCGCCGCAACCUGGGGCUUACCGGUGCGUGGUGUGCAGCCGGGCGCGUGAUGGAUUCCCGCGUACACCGUCUCGGGAGAGGCUCGCCUCUCCCACCUCCACCAAGGUGACGGACUGUCGAUCGGCAACGAUAAAAUCGAGGUACCUUCGGGACCCGUCUUGAAACC
rnacentral:rRNA from 1 species